rnacentral:rRNA from 1 species
AGAACGAACGCUGGCGGCAGGCCUCAAACAUGCAAGUCUAGGGGGGUAGCAAUACCACCGGCGGACGGGUGCGUAACGCGUGGGAACAUACCUUUCGGUACGGAACAACCCAGGGAAACUUGGGCUAAUACCGUAUACGCCCUUACGGGGAAAGAUUUAUCGCCGAAGGAUUGGCCCGCGUUCGAUUAGCUAGUUGGUGAGGUAACGGCUCACCAAGGCUACGAUCGAUAGCUGUUCUGAGAGGAAGAUCAGCCACACUGGGACUGAGACACGGCCCAGACUCCUACGGGAGGCAGCAGUUGGGAAUCUUGGACAAUGGGGGAAACCCUGAUCCAGCCAUGCCGCGUGAGUGAUGAAGGCCUUCGGGUUGUAAAACUCUUUCGACGGGGACGAUAAUGACGGUACCCGUAGAAGAAGCUCCGGCUAACUUCGUGCCAGCAGCCGC